rnacentral:misc_RNA from 1 species
GAAAUGCGAUAAUUAAUGUGAAUUGCAGAAUUCAGUGAAUCAUCGAGUCUUUGAACGCACAUUGCGCCCCCUGGUAUUCCGGGGGGCAUGCCUGUCCGAGCGUCAUUGCUGCCCUCAAGCACGGCUUGUGUGUUGGGCUUCCGUCCCUGGCAACGGGGACGGGCCCAAAAGGCAGUGGCGGCACCAUGUCUGGUCCUCGAGCGUAUGGGGCUUUGUAACCCGCUCCCGUAGGUCCAGCUGGCAGCUAGCCUCGCAACCAAUCUUUUUAACCAGGUUGACCUCGGAUCAGGUAGGGAUACCCGCUGAACUUAAGC